ACCACUAAAUCUUUGUAUUUUUUUAGUAGAGAUGGGGUUUCACCAUGUUGGCCAGGCUGCUCUCGAACUCCUGACCUCAAUUCAUCCACCUGCCUCGGCCUCCCUAAAUGUUGGGAUUACAGGUGUGAGCCACCACACCCGGCCCCAAGUCCACUCUCAUUCUUGCCCUGCCCCCUGUGGGCCACAGGACAGCCCUCUGUAGUAACCACUGAAGUCUGGUAAAUGAACAACCUCAGCCCCUUGGAAGUCCCAAGAGAUCCCAGCAGCUUCCCCUGCCUUGUCACCGCACCUGAAGAAUGGUGGUGUGUGGUGGAAGGAGUACAGCCCUGCUCUGGGCCAUCGGCUACCUGCAUGUCCCCUCUGCUGGAGCCACAGGCCCCUCUGUUGGGCCAGUGUCCACAUCCCACACCACAGCCAGGCCAGGCUUCUUUAGAAGCUCCCCAUCACUGAGCCAACUUCCUCUGCCAGUUACACAUAUCACCCAGAUGGGGUGAUUUCUUACUGCAGAACACUUUGUUAAUUGACACACCAUUGAACUGAGCUGAUGACUCCCGUGACUUGGUAUCCUUAGUCCCUGAUAUGUUUUGGCUGUGUCCCCACCCAAAUCUCAUCUUGAAUUGUAGUUUCCAUAAUCCCCACAUGUAGUGGGAGGGACCUGGUGGGAGGUAAUUGAAUCAUGGUGGUGGUUACCCCCAUGCUAUUCUCAUAAUAGUGAGUGAGUUCUCAUGAGAUUUGAUGGUUCUAUAAGGGGCUUUCCAUCUUUGCUCAUUCUUCUCUCUCCUGCUGCCCUGUGAAGAAGGACGUGUUUGCUUUCCCUUCUCUCAUUAUUGUAAGUUUCCUGAG
rnacentral:lncRNA from 1 species